UGAAUACGAGAUGCUACGGCGUCGAAGCAGUCUAUGUCAUACUUCCAAGAAAAGCUUGCACUGUCAUAAACAAAUAAUGCCUGUACCAUAACCGACACAGGUGGGUAGGUAGAGUAUACUAAGGGGCGCGAGAUAACUCUCUCUAAGGAACUCGGCAAAAUGACUCCGUAACUUCGGGAGAAGGAGUGCCUUAUUUAUAAGGUUGCAAUAACAAGAUCCAAGCAACUGUUUACCAAAAACACAGGUCUCCGCUAAGUCGUAAGACGAUGUAUGGGGGCUGACGCCUGCCCAGUGCCAGAAGGUUAAAGAAGUUGGUUAGCAUCCGCGAAGCUGAUAACUGAAGCCCUGGUGAACGGCGGCCGUAACUAUAACGGUCCUAAGGUAGCGAAAUUCCUUGUCGGGUAAGUUCCGACCCGCACGAAAGGCGUAAUGAUUUGGAUACUGUCUCGGAGAGGGGCUCGGUGAAAUAGACUUGUCUGUGAAGAUGCGGACUACCUGCACCAGGACAGAAAGACCCUAUGAAGCUUUACUGUAACCUGAAAUUGAAAUUGGACUUUACUUGCGCAGUAUAGGUGGGAGGCGUUGAGAAUAUUCUUGCGGGAUUAUUGGAGCCAUCAGUGAGAUACCACUCUUGUAAUGUUAGAUUUCUAACUUUGUAUCAUUAUCUGGUCAAAGAACAGUUUCAGGCGGGCAGUUUGACUGGGGCGGUCGCCUCCUAAACGGUAACGGAGGCGCACAAAGGUUUCCUCUGAACGGGUAGAAAUCGUAUCUAGAGUGUAAAGGCAUAAGGAAGCUUGACUGUGAGACCUACAAGUCGAGCAGGGACGAAAGUCGGUCUUAGUGAUCUGACGGUGCUGAGUGGAAAGGCCGUCACUCAACGGAUAAAAGUUACUCUAAGGAUAACAGGCUGAUCUCCCCCAAGAGUUCACAUCGACGGGGAGGUUUGGCACCUCGAUGUCGGCUCAUCGCAUCCUGGGGCGGUAGUACGUCCCAAGGGUUGGGCUGUUCGCCCAUGAAAGCGGUACGCGAGCUGGGUUCAGAACGUCGUGAGACAGUUCGGUCCAUAUCCGGUGUAGGCGUUAGAAUAUUGAGAGGAGCCUUCUUUAGUACGAGAGGACCGAGAAGGACAUACCUCUGGUGUACCAGUUAUCGUGCCAACGGUAAACGCUGGGUAGCUAUGUGUGGAGUGGAUAACCGCUGAAAGCAUCUAGGUGGGAAGCCCACCUCAAGAUAAG
rnacentral:rRNA from 1 species